CGAACUUUGGAGGUGCCAAGACAUUUUUCGGAGAGAAAAAAUAAACGCGACCCUUGGGAGGAGUAUGCGACGAACAGGAAAACCACGAUGCGUGCUGAUAUUAUGUUCCUGCGAUGCUUUUACAUCAAGAUUCAGACCCCGGGGAAUGAAAAAAGUACAUAAAGAUAAUACACGUAACGAACGGGGUGGAAGUCGUCGAUAGUUUGGAGACGGUGGAACGAGUCACUUUAAAAACGGAAGUGUAUACCUCGAGUACGGCAAAUAUUAUAGUAUUCGGCGAGGCCAUCGAAAAUCCGGAGAGCCCACUCGGCGAGACAAACAAUAAUAUAGCGGAUAUAAUGGAAAAAUGCGAUCGCUGCAAAAGCCGCGAGAGAAGAAGUAGCUGGAAUCGUUACAGUGUAGACACGUAGGGUGAGGUACGUCUGCAGCUGUUCGCAGCCUCUGGAGAUUGAAGUUUAUAGGUAAUAGAAAAGGGUAAAAAAAGUGGAAAAAAAUGAAAAAGCGGGAAAAUCGUAGCACGAACUACGGCAAGAAGAGUCGCACGUGAUAUAUUCCAGGUACG
rnacentral:misc_RNA from 1 species